GCAGUGAACCGGCUUGUCGCUGCUUUUGUCUGUCUUUUCAGGAAGGCGGACUGGAGGAGAGGAAAGUCCGGGCAACGCAGGGCAUCCCGCUUCCUAACGGGAAGAGGUCCGCGAGGGUCAGUUGGUGCAGAAGAAAAGAACCGCCUUGCUUUAUGUGAGGUAAGGGUGAGAAGGUGGGGUAAGAGCCCACCAGGUCGGCAGUGAUGUCGAUGCUGUGCACACCGGGAGUUGAAAGUUCAUGUAAACCGGCGAAUACAAAGAGAGGGCGGCCCGUCCAAGCCGGAGGGUAGAACGAUAGAGGGCAGCGGUGACGCUGUUCGUAGAUAAAUGGCAAGCAUGGUCCGAAACGGGCUAUACAGAACCCGGCUUACAGGUUCACUGCUCUU
rnacentral:RNase_P_RNA from 1 species